rnacentral:rRNA from 1 species
UAGAGGAAGUAAAAGUCGUAACAAGGUUUCCGUAGGUGAACCUGCGGAAGGAUCAUUACCGAGUUGAUUCGAGCUCCGGCUCGACUCUCCCACCCAAUGUGUACCUACCUCUGUUGCUUUGGCGGGCCGCGGUCCUCCGCACCGGCGCCCUUCGGGGGGCUGGCCAGCGCCCGCCAGAGGACCAUAAAACUCCAGUCAGUGAACUUCGCAGUCUGAAAAACAAGUUAAUAAACUAAAACUUUCAACAACGGAUCUCUUGGUUCUGGCAUCGAUGAAGAACGCAGCGAAAUGCGAUAAGUAAUGUGAAUUGCAGAAUUCAGUGAAUCAUCGAAUCUUUGAACGCACAUUGCGCCCCUUGGUAUUCCGAGGGGCAUGCCUGUUCGAGCGUCAUUUCAACCCUCAAGCUCUGCUUGGUAUUGGGCCCCGUCCUCCACGGACGCGCCUUAAAGACCUCGGCGGUGGCGUCUUGCCUCAAGCGUAGUAGAAAACACCUCGCUUUGGAGCGCACGGCGUCGCCCGCCGGACGAACCUUUGAAUUAUUUCUCAAGGUUGACCUCGGAUCAGGUAGGGAUACCCGCUGAACUUAAGCAUAUCAAU